rnacentral:rRNA from 1 species
GACGAACGCUGGCGGCGUGCUUAACACAUGCAAGUCUAACGGAAAGGCCCUGCUUUUGUGGGGUGCUCGAGUGGCGAACGGGUGAGUAACACGUGAGUAACCUGCCCUUGACUUUGGGAUAACUUCAGGAAACUGGGGCUAAUACCGGAUAGGAGCUCCUGCUGCAUGGUGGGGGUUGGAAAGUUUCGGCGGUUGGGGAUGGACUCGCGGCUUAUCAGCUUGUUGGUGGGUAGUGGCUUACCAAGGCUUUGACGGGUAGCCGGCCUGAGAGGGUGACCGGCCACAUUGGGACUGAGAUACGGCCCAGACUCCUACGGGAGGCAGCAGUGGGGAAUAUUGCACAAUGGGCGGAAGCCUGAUGCAGCAACGCCGCGUGCGGGAUGACGGCCUUCGGGUUGUAAACCGCUUUCGCCUGUGACGAAGCGUGAGUGACGGUAAUGGGUAAAGAAGCACCGGCUAACUACGUG